rnacentral:lncRNA from 1 species
AUAUAUCCCAAAAUAAAGUAAACAGGAAAAUUAUAAUCAUGUAAGUGUUAGCCGGAGGUACUGGUGCUAACAAGACGAAUGUAAAUGUUGACUCGAGGUAAUAGGGCUAACAUAUUACAUAUAACCUAAUGGACAUCCGAAGAUUGUCCAAUUCUCCUCUGUAGCAGCAGCAGGUGGAAGGAAGGGUUAGUCCCUGUAAAGGUACUCCUAGUAUAAGUAAUAACCGUAGGCAUCCGUAGAUGUUCAUUACCCACUGUUGCUAACAGAUGAGUUCCGGAAUGGUUAGUCCCGUACGUAUAUCCCGAGGUACUGUGGGAUAGAGGCCCAUCUAGGUAUCCCGAGGUACUAUGGGAUAGGGUCCUGUCUUAGAUAUUCCGAGGUACUGUGGAAUAGGCAGGAAGAUUUACACAGAAGGUACUAAUAAAUCAUCCUCGCAAUUCGAGAUACAAGUAUUCAUGUUAAUGUACACAGUUAAGUGUAUCUACGUAAAGGUACUUAUGUAAUGCGUUCAUGUAAACGUGUUCAUGUAUCAUGUAAGUAUAUGUAAACAUAUUCAUGUAUCAGGUAAACAUCUGUAAGUACUCAUGUAUCAGGUAAUGUACUAGUAUAGACUCAUGAAUGAACUGACUCUUGUGUGACUCCUUGUAAUAGAAGUAAUGUUUGAUAUCUUCAAAUUAUCCCUAUGAUAAUCUACUGUAAUAUAACUAGUUGACCAUGUAAGUUUACCCACUCUUACUACUCAAGGGUAUGGGAAACUAAAGGAAAGAUGCAAACUAUAACAUCAAUACAUAUAUAAGAAUAUAAGUGUAUAUGCAUAGUUUAGUUCAAGAAUGAAAAAUGGUUUUUGUAAGACAUCUUAUGGGUUUUGAACAAUAAUUAACAAUGACUUGAUGUCAUUUUAAUAAACAUUUCAGAGGUAAAACAUUUGGUAACAAUGUGCUUUUAAGAUGUAAAACCAUUUCAUGCAUCACAUUUUGUAGCAUGUGAAAUCUGUUAAAUGACAAACACAGUUAUAAAAUACAUAUCAAUGAUUUAAUAAC